UCCCCGAUAGUAUAGUGGCUAGAACAUCGGCUUCUCACGCCGAAAACCCGGGUUCAAUUCCCGGUCGGGGAGCC
rnacentral:tRNA from 1 species